CGUGCUUAACACAUGCAAGUCGAACGAUGAACCCGCUUGCGGGGGAUUAGUGGCGAACGGGUGAGUAACACGUGAGUAACCUGCCCUUAACUCUGGGAUAAGCCUUGGAAACGGGGUCUAAUACUGGAUAUUGACUUUUCCUCGCAUGGGGAUUGGUUGAAAGAUUUAUUGGUUUUGGAUGGACUCGCGGCCUAUCAGCUUGUUGGUGAGGUAAUGGCUCACCAAGGCGACGACGGGUAGCCGGCCUGAGAGGGUGACCGGCCACACUGGGACUGAGACACGGCCCAGACUCCUACGGGAGGCAGCAGUGGGGAAUCUUGCACAAUGGGCGAAAGCCUGAUGCAGCGACGCCGCGUGAGGGAUGACGGCCUUCGGGUUGUAAACCUCUUUCAGUAGGGAACAAGGCCAGUGUUUAGCUGGUUGAGGGUACUUGCAGAAGAAGCGCCGGCUAACUACGUGCCAGCAGCCGCGGUAAUACGUAGGGCGCAAGCGUUAUCCGGAAUUAUUGGGCGUAAAGAGCUCGUAGGCGGUUUGUCGCGUCUGCCGUGAAAGUCCGGGGCUCAACCCCGGAUCUGCGGUGGGUACGGGCAGACUAGAGUGAUGUAGGGGAGACUGGAAUUCCUGGUGUAGCGGUGAAAUGCGCAGAUAUCAGGAGGAACACCGAUGGCGAAGGCAGGUCUCUGGGCAUUAACUGACGCUGAGGAGCGAAAGCAUGGGGAGCGAACAGGAUUAGAUACCCUGGUAGUCCAUGCCGUAAACGUUGGGCACUAGGUGUG
rnacentral:rRNA from 1 species